AGAUUGAACGCUGGCGGCAGGCCUAACACAUGCAAGUCGAGCGGUAGAGAGGUGCUCGCACCUCUUGAGAGCGGCGGACGGGUGAGUAAAGCCUAGGAAUCUGCCUGGUAGUGGGGGGAUAACGCUCGGAAGCGGACGCUAAUACCGCAUACGUCCUACGGGAGAAAGCAGGGGACCUUCGGGCCUUGCGCUAUCAGAUGAGCCUAGGUCGGAUUAGCUAGUUGGUGAGGUAAUGGCUCACCAAGGCGACGAUCCGUAACUGGUCUGAGAGGAUGAUCAGUCACACUGGAACUGAGACACGGUCCAGACUCCUACGGGAGGCAGCAGUGGGGAAUAUUGGACAAUGGGCGAAAGCCUGAUCCAGCCAUGCCGCGUGUGUGAAGAAGGUCUUCGGAUUGUAAAGCACUUUAAGUUGGGAGAAGGGCAUUAACCUAAUACGUUAGUGUUUGACGUUACGACAGAAUAAGCACCGGCUAACUCUGUGCAGCACG
rnacentral:rRNA from 1 species